CCUACGGGUGGCAGCAGUGGGGAAUAUUGGACAAUGGGGGCAACCCUGAUCCAGCCAUGCCGCGUGUGUGAAGAAGGCCCUCGGGUUGUAAAGCACUUUCAGUGAGGAAGAACGCCUGGUGGUUAAUACCCAUCAGGAAAGACAUCACUCACAGAAGAAGCACCGGCUAACUCCGUGCCAGCAGCCGCGGUAAUACGGAGGGUGCGAGCAGUUAAUCGGAAUUACUGGGCGUAAAGCGCGCGUAGGUGGCUUGAUAAGCCGGUUGUGAAAGCCCCGGGCUCAACCUGGGAACGGCAUCCGGAACUGGCAAGCUAGAGUGCAGGAGAGGAAGGUAGAAUUCCCGGUGUAGCGGUGAAAUGCGUAGAGAUCGGGAGGAAUACCAGUGGCGAAGGCGGCCUUCUGGACUGACACUGACACUGAGGUGCGAAAGCGUGGGUAGCAAACAGGAUUAGAUACCCCAGUAGUC
rnacentral:rRNA from 1 species